UUUUUAAAAUUCACACAAUAUUUUGAGUUUUACAGUGUGGAAAAGCCAGGGAGAGGUGGUGUGAGUGGAAUAUGAGGGAAACAAAGGUGGGAGAAGUUGAGAACAGAAGAGUAGAAACAGUGAGUCAAACUAGAGAUCUGGCCUGAAUGCCUGCAUUAGAGUAGUCUCCAUUAACCCUUUGCCUGUCCAAAGCAUUUUAAUAAGUUUGUCCUAAAUGUACAUGCUUCUUUUCGGACAUUUAAUUAGCCCUUGUUUUGUAACUUAGAUAAGUUUCAGCCAGUAUAGACCCAGGCCAUGUCGAACUUAUAGCACCACCUUCUGAAGUGAUUUAGUUCAUGAUUCAUACUUCAGUCAUAUAUGGGAUACCAUGGCCCACUCUAGCAAAGAGUUAUUAUUGUUGGAGACAUUUCUGGGUGCAGGAGGUGAAUAAUACAAAACUUUUUUUUCAUAAGUCUAUAGUUACUCUACUAGUUGAAAAAAAUUGGGAAUGUGUAUCACAUGAUUCAUGGACACUAAUGAAAUAUGUUUAAACAAGGUGAAGGUUGAGGUUAAGUAAAGAAAGGGAGGGAAAAGUUAAAAGUGGUAGGAAUGAAAGUAAAGAACACAAAGCUUCUAAGAAAAAUCCUGAAGGAUGAUCAAAUAUUGGUCAGUGAAUGGUGGUAAUGGUGAUGUGCUUCUUUAAAUUUUUAACAUGAAGGUUUGUCCCAUGGGCAUUUUGUCCUGCAUGCUGUCAGACCGUUGAGCCAACCUCUGUGUUUGUUGUAAAUUGAUGUUGCAAGAAAAAAGAUGUGAAGGGAAUAAAAAAAAAAAGAGGACUAGGUGCCAUUGUCAGAAUGGGGCCUGGUGAUGGUGAGGAAGUGUGGUAGGAAGUUUCUUAGCAGAAGUAAAGUAAAACCAACCAGAACUGAGGGCAGAAGACACUAGUUGUGGAACAGAGAGAAGACACUAGUUGUGGAACAGAGAGAAGACAACAUUUGUGGACUAGCAAUUGGAGUGUAUUAAUGACUGACUUCAUACCAAGUGGUUGAGUGUCCUUUUUUUUUUGGUUAUGAUCUCAGAUGUUCAUGUGUGUGAUAGCAGCAGGAGUGUCCAAAAUGAAAGAGAAGCACUCUUUUGCAGGCUUCACCUGAACUUUAUUGAAGAGCUUGAAGGCACCAUAAGCAUACCCCAGCAAUUAUUUAGACCUAUUGACAGUUGUUUGCUGCUGACAUCUCUACACCUCAUCCCCCAAUAAAUAUGGAUUCUCUCUCUUAUUUUAAUGAUUUAAAAGUCUGAAAGAUAGAGAGUUAUAUAAAGAAACAUUUGAAAAUGGUCUUGGAGGUAUACAUCUAAAGCUAAAAAGACAGUAAAAAAAAUAGUUUGUAGUAUUACUUCUGGCUCUUUGUGUUUCAUGUUCAAAUCUCAUCAAGAUCAGCUUUGCCUUUCAUCCUUCUGGGGUUGAUAAAAUAAAGUACUAAUCAAAUACCUAAAUUGGAAGCAAUUAUUAUUACCACUGUUAUGACAACAGUGCCAUAACAAUGAUUAACUUUGCUUGCUUCACAAUCCUGACGAUAAUGUCCACUAACUCUCUCAAGGCUUUCUUUUGUUUGUCUAUUGUUCUGAUCUAAAACCAAAUGUUGACUAAGAAAAAAAUUUUACCAUGAGAAAUGUUGAACAUUUCCACUUUGUGUUGUGGAAACUCUUGUUAUGGUAAUAAAAAUGAAAGCAUU